UUGAUUGCGGAGUCUAACACAUGCAAGUCGAGGGGUAACAUAGGGAGAGCUUGCUUUUUCGCUGACGACCGGCGCACGGGUGCGUAACGCGUAUACAACCUACCUUUUGGAGGGGAAUAGCCCAGGGAAACUUGGAUUAAUGCCCCAUAGUAUGGGAAUUUCUCCUGAUAUUUAUAUUAAACAUUUAUGGCUAUUAGAUGGGUAUGCGUCCUAUUAGUUAGUUGGUAAGGUAACGGCUUACCAAGGCAGCGAUAGGUAGGGGUCCUGAGAGGGAGAUCCCCCACACUGGUACUGAGACACGGACCAGACUCCUACGGGAGGCAGCAGUGAGGAAUAUUGGACAAUGGGCGAGAGCCUGAUCCAGCCAUGCCGCGUGCAGGAAGACUGCCCUAUGGGUUGUAAACUGCUUUUACAGAGGAAGAACCACCCCCACGUGUGGGAGUUUGACGGUACUCUGCGAAUAAGGAUCGGCUAACUCCGUGCCAGCAGCCGCGGUAAUACGGAGGAUCCAAGCGUUAUCCGGAAUCAUUGGGUUUAAAGGGUCCGUAGGCGGGCAGUUAAGUCAGUGGUGAAAGUCUUCCGCUCAACGGGAGAACUGCCAUUGAUACUGAUUGUCUUGAGUUAUUAUGAAGUGGUUAGAAUGAGUAGUGUAGCGGUGAAAUGCAUAGAUAUUACUCAGAAUACCGAUUGCGAAGGCAGAUCACUAAUAAUAUACUGACGCUGAUGGACGAAAGCGUAGGUAGCGAACAGGAUUAGAUACCCUUGUUAGUCAA
rnacentral:rRNA from 1 species